rnacentral:rRNA from 1 species
UACGUAGGGUGCGAGCGUUAAUCGGAAUUACUGGGCGUAAAGCGUGCGCAGGCGGUUCGCUGUGUCCGAUGUGAAAGCCCCGGGCUUAACCUGGGAAUGGCAUUGGAAACUGGCGGGCUUGAGUGCGGUAGAGGAGAGUGGAAUUCCCGGUGUAGCAGUGAAAUGCGUAGAGAUCGGGAGGAACAUCAGUUGCGAAGGCGGCUCUCUGGACCAGCACUGACACUGAGGCACGAAAGCCAGGGGAGCAAACGGG